rfam:Triticum aestivum genome assembly, contig: Triticum_aestivum_CS42_TGACv1_scaffold_608542_7DL
UUUCCACUCCCUCCGUCGAAAAUACUUGUCAUCAAAAUGGAUAAAAAGAGAUGUAUCUAAAACUAAAAUACGUCUAGAUACAUUUCCUUUUAUCCAUUUUGAUGACAAGUAUUUUCGGACGGAGGGAGUAUUUG